rnacentral:misc_RNA from 1 species
AAUUUGGAUAUGGCUCGUUUAAGCCAAAAUCCAUGCUACAAGCAUGUACCAAGAAACUAUACCUUUAGUAUCUGCACCCACUAAACCUAGUGCAAUAAAACCCAUUGAAUUAAGACAUCUCAGCUUUCCAUUUUUGAAUGUUUAGAACUCUCCACUUCAUUCAGCUUUUAUCAAAGUGUUCAAACUGGAUGUAAGUGUGAUUACAUAUUCCAAUAAGCAAGAG